rnacentral:rRNA from 1 species
CCAAUAGCGUAUAUUAAAGUUGUUGCAGUUAAAAAGCUCGUAGUUGAACUUCGGGGUUUACCCAUUGGUCAGGCUUAAUUGUCUGUACUGGUGAGAUAAAUCUCUACCUUCUGAGGAACUUUCAUGCCAUUAAUUUGGUGUGAUGGGAAAUCAGGACUGUUACUUUGAAAAAAUUAGAGUGUUUAAAGCAGGCUAACGUCUGAAUACAUUAGCAUGGAAUAAUGAAAUAGGACGGACUGAUUCUAUUUCGUUGGUUUCUAGGAUCACCGUAAUGAUUAAUAGGGAUAGUUGGGGGCAUUAGUAUUCAAUUGUCAGAGGUGAAAUUCUUGGAUUUAUUGAAGACUGACUACUGCGAAAGCAUUUGCCAAGGAUGUUUUCAUUAAUCAAGAACGAAAGUUAGGGGAUCGAAGACGAUCAGAUACCGUCGUAGUCUUAACCAUAAACUAUGCCGACUAGGGAUCGGACGAAGUUAAUUUUAUAAUGACGCGUUCGGCACCUUACG